UACGUUGGGGGCAAGCGUUGUCCGGAAUCAUUGGGCGUAAAGAGCGUGUAGGCGGCCCGAUAAGUCCGCCGUGAAAGUCCAGGGCUCAACCCUGGAAUGCCGGUGGAAACUGUCGGGCUGGAGUCCGGAAGAGGCGAGUGGAAUUCCUGGUGUAGCGGUGAAAUGCGCAGAUAUCAGGAGGAACACCAAUGGCGAAGGCAGCUCGCUGGGACGGUACUGACGCUGAGACGCGAAAGCGUGGGGAGCAAACAGG
rnacentral:rRNA from 1 species